GAUGAACGCUGGCGGCGUGCCUAAUACAUGCAAGUCGAGCGAGCGGCGGACGGGUGAGUAAUGUCUGGGAAACAGCCUGAUGGAGGGGGAUAACUAAUGGAAACGGUAGAUAAUACAGCAUACCAUCAGCAGUGCCCAGAUGGGAUUAGCUAGCAGGUGGGGUAAUGGCGCACCUAGGAGACGAUCCCUAGCUGGUCUGAGAGGAUGACCAGCCCCACUGGAACUGAGACCCGGUCCAGACUCCUACGUGAGGCAGCAGUGGGGAAUAGUGCACAAUGGGCGCAAGCCGGAUACAGCCAUGCCGCGUGUGUGAAGAAGGCCUUCGGGUUGUAAAGCACUUUCAGCGAGGAGGCGUUACUCGCAGAGGAAGCACCGGCUAACUCCGUGCCAGCAGCCGCGGUAAUAC
rnacentral:rRNA from 1 species